rnacentral:rRNA from 1 species
CCUACGGGAGGCAGCAGUGGGGAAUAUUGCUCAAUGGGGGAAACCCUGAAGCAGCGACGCCGCGUGAGCGAUGAAGGAUUUAGGAUUGUAAAGCCCUUUUGGGAGGGAAGAAAAUGACGGUACCUGACGAAGAAGCCCCGGCUAACUACGUGCCAGCAGCCGCGGUAAUACGGAGGGUGCGAGCGUUACUCGGAAUUAUUGGGCUUAAAGGGUGCGUAGGCGGGAUUGCAAGUCAGAUGUGAAAUCCUGGAGCUUAACUCCCGAACUGCAGUUGAAACUGUGGGUCUUGAGUGUGGGAGAGGUAGGUGGAAUGCAUGGUGUAGCGGUGAAAUGCUUAGAGAUCAUGCAGAACUCCGAUUGCGAAGGCA